ACGUUCAUGAUCUCAAUGUGACUAUGAAUGGAUUUUUUCCAUGUGAGGCAGGAAAUGUGUGGGUGUGUGGUGAAUAUAAUUCCUAGGAGAUGCACAUUGCACAAGUGUGUGUGGUGGGUUUUUUGUUUUGGGGAUGUGGUGCAUAGUGGUUUUUUUGUUUGUUUGUUUUUUUUGCAUUUGAAAUGGUGCUAUUUCCAUGGAUCUUACGUGCCUGCUAAAACAGGAAUUUUAACACCCCUGCACCUCCUGCUUAAGAAACUGAAUGCGCCCUUUUGCAUAUGCAUAGACUUUGGACUGGAAACAACUUUAUGGAAGUACUUUUGAGGAACGAUGUGCUGCUUUUUAUUGUGUAUUGGUUUUUAUGCCAGUUUAACACACACACAACUACAUCAUCCUCUUUGAUACUUAAGAGAUUGCCACUUUAAUUCAAGGUUCCUAAAAUGUAAUGGCUGUUCUUUCCUGAAAACCUUUACCUUGUUGCAGCCUGUAUAACAAUAUAAAAAGCAUAACUUAUUUCCUGACACUUAGGUAAACGUGCAGCUUGGAUUGAAAGGUAACUGAGUUUCUGACCUAAUGAACAAGAAGAGCCAGUUCUUGUGGUUCCUAUUGGCCCAAAUUUCUCUUUGAUGUUUGUGGAAGUUUAGAAAGGUGAAGGAUGCAAGUUUCAGACCUGGUGCCGCUUAGCCAUCUGCAUUUGAAUAUUUUCGUUCAAGGAGCCUUUUUCAGCAGAAUAACUGGACUGAACUUCUAUGCUGAUGGAGCUUUGAAAUCUCUGCACUUCAGCUGAUAAGAAAACAUCUGGUUCUUUAAGUAAAGACUUAGAUUUCUAUAAUCGGGAAAUUGGCUACAGAGUUUUAAGCAAUCCACUCAGGAUCAAAAGCCCAAAGGGCCUUAAGAGGAAAGAAAGUAAGAAGACUUAAACUAGACCUUUUUAAUAGGAUUGGGUAGAAUAUUCAAGGACUCUGGCCUCCUCCUGCUGUCAGUGAAUCUUGCUCAGACUUCUGUGAGCAGACAAAAGGGUGUGCUUCUGGAAAGUGAUUUAAAAUUCAAAAAUGAGAUACCAAAAACAAUUAUUUCAGGAACUGACUCAGUUCUUAUUAGCAGACUUUUCUUCUUGAAGGAGAAAUGAGGAAUAACCAUGCUACAUCAGGGAACUCAACUUCUGUGCGGCGGAAUGAGAUUUGUCGUAUUACCUUUAAGCAGAAAACAUCCACUUCUUUUAGCCAACUGUACAGAAUCAUACUGGUGGUCUCCAAACACAAAUCUAUAUUCCAGCUCUACAGCAUGCCUACUACAAGCUUUGACAGAAACACCUACUGUUGCA
rnacentral:lncRNA from 1 species